rnacentral:rRNA from 1 species
UAUGUGAUCGUCUCUCGCAUAUCAAUAAGCGGAGGAAAAGAAACUAACAAGGAUUCCCCUAGUAACGGCGAGUGAAGCGGGAAGAGCUCAAAUUUGAAAUCUUAAAGGGUUUCCCUUUACGAAUUGUAGUUUAAAGAAGUGUUUUCUGUUGAGGUUUUGGUAAAAGUUCUUUGGAAUAGGACAUCAUAGAGGGUGAGAAUCCCGUAUUUGACCUUUACUUUCAACUUUGUGAUACACUUCCAAAGAGUCGGAUUGUUUGGGAAUGCAGUCCAAAAUGGGUGGUAAAUUUCAUCUAAAGCUAAAUAUUGGCGAGAGACCGAUAGCGAACAAGUACCGUGAGGGAAAGAUGAAAAGAACUUUGAAAAGAGAGUUAAACAGUACGUGAAAUUGUCAAAAGGGAAGCGUUUGACAUCAGUGUUGUUUUUCUGAAAAUCAAUUAAAGAACUGUUUAUGCUAAGUUGUUUAGACUUUAUCAGCUAAUCUGCUUAGUUUUGAGCUUUUCUUUAAUGCACUUUUCAGUUAACAAGUCAACAUCAAUUUCUUUUGCUGUAAAAAAGCUUGAGGAAGGUGGCUUGAGAUUCGUCUUAAGUGUUUAUAGCCUCUUGCCUAUGCAGUCGGAGAGAUUGAGGUCUGCAGCGUAGAUCCUUCGGGGCUAAAUGCAUUUGUGCUAAGUUAUAGCAUUUUAUAGACAACUUGUUGACUAUGAUUUGUCUUGUAGCUUACUCGCUUAUGUUAUUUUACCUACGCUUAGGAUGUUGAGUAGCGACAUACGCAC